rnacentral:rRNA from 1 species
GGUUAAGCGACUAAGCGUACACGGUGGAUGCCCUGGCAGUCAGAGGCGAUGAAGGACGUGCUAAUCUGCGAAAAGCGUCGGUAAGGUGAUAUGAACCGUUAUAACCGGCGAUGUCCGAAUGGGGAAACCCAGUGCAAUUCGUUGCACUAUCGUUAACUGAAUACAUAGGUUAACGAGGCGAACCGGGGGAACUGAAACAUCUAAGUACCCCGAGGAAAAGAAAUCAACCGAGAUUCCCCCAGUAGCGGCGAGCGAACGGGGAGCAGCCCAGAGUCUGAAUCAGCUUGUGUGUUAGUGGAACGGUCUGGAAAGUCCGACGGUACAGGGUGAUAGUCCCGUACACCAAAAUGCACAGGUUGUGAACUCGAAGAGUAGGGCGGGACACGUGGUAUCCUGUCUGAAUAUGGGGGGACCAUCCUCCAAGGCUAAAUACUCCUGACUGACCGAUAGUGAACCAGUACCGUGAGGGAAAGGCGAAAAGAACCCCGGCGAGGGGAGUGAAAAAGAACCUGAAACCGUGUACGUACAAGCAGUGGGAGCACCUUCGGGUGUGACUGCGUACCUUUUGUAUAAUGGGUCAGCGACUUAUAUUCUGUAGCAAGGUUAACCGUAUAGGGGAGCCGCAGGGAAACCGAGUCUUAACUGGGCGUUAAGUUGCAGGGUAUAGACCCGAAACCCGGUGAUCUAGCCAUGGGCAGGUUGAAGGUUGGGUAACACUAACUGGAGGACCGAACCGACUAAUGUUGAAAAAUUAGCGGAUGACUUGUGGCUGGGGGUGAAAGGCCAAUCAAACCGGGAGAUAGCUGGUUCUCCCCGAAAGCUAUUUAGGUAGCGCCUCGUGAAUUCAUCUUCGGGGGUAGAGCACUGUUUCGGCUAGGGGGUCAUCCCGACUUACCAACCCGAUGCAAACUACGAAUACCGAAGAAUGUUAUCACGGGAGACACACGGCGGGUGCUAACGUCCGUCGUGAAGAGGGAAACAACCCAGACCGCCAGCUAAGGUCCCAAAGUCAUGGUUAAGUGGGAAACGAUGUGGGAAGGCACAGACAGCCAGGAUGUUGGCUUAGAAGCAGCCAUCAUUUAAAGAAAGCGUAAUAGCUCACUGGUCGAGUCGGCCUGCGCGGAAGAUGUAACGGGGCUAAACCAUGCACCGAAGCUGCGGCAGCGACACUAUGUGUUGUUGGGUAGGGGAGCGUUCUGUAAGCCUGUGAAGGUGACCUGUGAGGGUUGCUGGAGGUAUCAGAAGUGCGAAUGCUGACAUAAGUAACGAUAAAGCGGGUGAAAAGCCCGCUCGCCGGAAGACCAAGGGUUCCUGUCCAACGUUAAUCGGGGCAGGGUGAGUCGACCCCUAAGGCGAGGCCGAAAGGCGUAGUCGAUGGGAAACAGGUUAAUAUUCCUGUACUUGGUGUUACUGCGAAGGGGGGACGGAGAAGGCUAUGUUAGCCGGGCGACGGUUGUCCCGGUUUAAGCAUGUAGGCUGGUUAUCCAGGCAAAUCCGGAUAAUCAAGGCUGAGGUGUGAUGACGAGGCACUACGGUGCUGAAGUAACAAAUGCCCUGCUUCCAGGAAAAGCCUCUAAGCAUCAGGUAACAUCAAAUCGUACCCCAAACCGACACAGGUGGUCAGGUAGAGAAUACCAAGGCGCUUGAGAGAACUCGGGUGAAGGAACUAGGCAAAAUGGUGCCGUAACUUCGGGAGAAGGCACGCUGGUGUGUAGGUGAAGUCCCUGCGGAUGGAGCUGAGACCAGUCGAAGAUACCAGCUGGCUGCAACUGUUUAUUAAAAACACAGCACUGUGCAAACACGAAAGUGGACGUAUACGGUGUGACGCCUGCCCGGUGCCGGAAGGUUAAUUGAUGGGGUUAUCCGUAAGGAGAAGCUCUUGAUCGAAGCCCCGGUAAACGGCGGCCGUAACUAUAACGGUCCUAAGGUAGCGAAAUUCCUUGUCGGGUAAGUUCCGACCUGCACGAAUGGCGUAAUGAUGGCCAGGCUGUCUCCACCCGAGACUCAGUGAAAUUGAACUCGCUGUGAAGAUGCAGUGUACCCGCGGCAAGACGGAAAGACCCCGUGAACCUUUACUAUAGCUUGACACUGAACAUUGAGCCUUGAUGUGUAGGAUAGGUGGGAGGCUUUGAAGCGUGGACGCCAGUCUGCGUGGAGCCAACCUUGAAAUACCACCCUUUAAUGUUUGAUGUUCUAACGUUGGCCCCUGACCGGGGUUGCGGACAGUGUCUGGUGGGUAGUUUGACUGGGGCGGUCUCCUCCCAAAGCGUAACGGAGGAGCACGAAGGUUAGCUAAUCCUGGUCGGACAUCAGGAGGUUAGUGCAAUGGCAUAAGCUAGCUUGACUGCGAGCGUGACGGCGCGAGCAGGUGCGAAAGCAGGUCAUAGUGAUCCGGUGGUUCUGAAUGGAAGGGCCAUCGCUCAACGGAUAAAAGGUACUCCGGGGAUAACAGGCUGAUACCGCCCAAGAGUUCAUAUCGACGGCGGUGUUUGGCACCUCGAUGUCGGCUCAUCACAUCCUGGGGCUGAAGUAGGUCCCAAGGGUAUGGCUGUUCGCCAUUUAAAGUGGUACGCGAGCUGGGUUUAGAACGUCGUGAGACAGUUCGGUCCCUAUCUGCCGUGGGCGCUGGAGAAUUGAGGGGGGCUGCUCCUAGUACGAGAGGACCGGAGUGGACGCAUCACUGGUGUUCGGGUUGUCAUGCCAAUGGCACUGCCCGGUAGCUAAAUGCGGAAGAGAUAAGUGCUGAAAGCAUCUAAGCACGAAACUUGCCCCGAGAUGAGUUCUCCCUGAGACUUUAAGUCUCCUGAAGGAACGUUGAAGACGACGACGUUGAUAGGCCGGGUGUGUAAGCGCAGCGAUGCGUUGAGCUAACCGGUACUAAUGAACCGUGAGGCUUAACCUU